GCCGGGUGCGGUGGCCCACGCCUGUAAUCCCAGCACUCUGGGAGGCCGAGGCAGGGAGAUCACCUGAGGUCAGGAGUUCGAGACCAGCCUGGCCAACAUGGUGAAACCCUGUCUCUA
rnacentral:SRP_RNA from 2 species